UUUGAUAGAAUUUAAUAGAUGAUGUGCCUUGAAUAGGAUUUGUAUGGAUUUGAUUGAUUGACUCUUGGUGAUGAAUUUUAAAAUAAGCUAAGGACCUAAGGUGUGGCUUUAGCUGUCGAGCAACUUGUGGAGCACGGACUCAGUAGCAAUGCAAUAAUGGUUUAGAGUUUUCAUAUGGCUGCCUUAAAUUUAAAGUAUUCAUACGUGUAAUAAUUUCUACUAAUAAGUUUAUAUAAAAGUUUUAAAUUUUUCUGUA